AGUGGCAGACGGGUGAGUGACACGUGGGAACGUGCCCUUUGGUUCGGAACAACACAGGGAAACUUGUGCUAAUACCGAAUAAGCCCUUACGGGGAAAGAUUUAUCGCCAAAGGAUCGGCCCGCGUCUGAUUAGCUAGUUGGUGGGGUAACGGCCCACCAAGGCUACGAUCAGUAGCUGGUCUGAGAGGAUGAUCAGCCACACUGGGACUGAGACACGGCCCAGACUCCUACGGGAGGCAGCAGUUAGGAAUCUUGGACAAUGGGCGCAAGCCUGAUCCAGCCAUGCCGCGUGAGUGAUGAAGGCCUUAGGGUUGUAAAGCUCUUUCAGCGGGGAAGAUAAUGACGGUACCCGCAGAAGAAGCCCCGGCUAACUUCGUGCCAGCAGCCGCGGUAAUACAAAAAAGAGGGGAGGGGUGCUCGGAAUCACUGGGCGUAAAGCGCACGUAGGCGGGUCUUUAAGUCAGGGGUGAAAUCCUGGAGCUCAACUCCAGAACUGCCUUUGA
rnacentral:rRNA from 1 species